rnacentral:lncRNA from 1 species
AAUGACCAUCUAUUUAUAGCAUUCCUCAUUACAGACUUAGAUGUUGCUUUUAAGAAAUUCUUACAUGCUCAUGCAUUUUCAUCUUCCUUCAGGCUGUUCUAUGGAAGUAACCAUAAAUUGAUCAGAAAAAAUUAAGAGCAUCCAGAUGCUGUGGAGAAAAACUGCAGAAGAAACCUUUUCUAUUUCUGUAAUUCUUAGGAAGGAAAACCCUGUUUCUUGAUGGAGUAUUACCAUCAGCAACAACCACUGAAUGGGAAGCAACAGACGGACACAAUAGCAUCUCCAGAGUGACCUCAGGUUUUCAUCCAUAUGAAACAGUUAAUCCUCAUUUGUUUAUUUUUUUCCUAUACUAUCUACAGUUACCAGAAUUCACCACCAUAUGUGAAGGUCAAGUCCACUGACAAACCUACCCUGGUAUACUGAUAAUUAAAAUAAAAAUCUAUAUGCACCUCCUCUGAGAACA